rnacentral:piRNA from 1 species
GGCCAAGGUCCUAGAGUGAGUUGGUUCAGU